CAUUACCGAGUGAGGGCCCUCUGGGUCCAACCUCCCACCCGUGUUUAUUUUACCUUGUUGCUUCGGCGGGCCCGCCUUAACUGGCCGCCGGGGGGCUUACGCCCCCGGGCCCGCGCCCGCCGAAGACACCCUCGAACUCUGUCUGAAGAUUGUAGUCUGAGUGAAAAUAUAAAUUAUUUAAAACUUUCAACAACGGAUCUCUUGGUUCCGGCAUCGAUGAAGAACGCAGCGAAAUGCGAUACGUAAUGUGAAUUGCAAAUUCAGUGAAUCAUCGAGUCUUUGAACGCACAUUGCGCCCCCUGGUAUUCCGGGGGGCAUGCCUGUCCGAGCGUCAUUGCUGCCCUCAAGCACGGCUUGUGUGUUGGGCCCCGUCCUCCGAUCCCGGGGGACGGGCCCGAAAGGCAGCGGCGGCACCGCGUCCGGUCCUCGAGCGUAUGGGGCUUUGUCACCCGCUCUGUAGGCCCGGCCGGCGCUUGCCGAUCAACCCAAAUUUUUAUCCAGGUUGACCUCGGAUCAGGUAGGGAUACCCGCUGAACUUAAGCAUAUCAAUAAGCGGAAAA
rnacentral:rRNA from 1 species